rnacentral:misc_RNA from 1 species
GCGCAAGGCCAUCGAGGCCAUGGUGUGCGCGCGAUCUCG